rnacentral:misc_RNA from 1 species
CCCAACUAUCCCUAUUAAUCAUUACGACGGUCCCGGAAACCAACAAAAUAGAACCAUCGUCCUAUUUCAUUAUUCCAUGCUAAUGUAUUCAAGCGUCUGAGCCCGCUUUGAGCACUCUAAUUUUUUCAAGGUAAAGGUCCUGGUUCCCGCGGGCACCAAAUGAAUGGCAUCCGCGCUCGCCAGAAGGUGAGACCCGCGACGAGGCAGUGCUCGCCCUGAGGACGGACCACCCGCACGGGCCUAAGGUUCAACUACGAGCUUUUUAACUGCAACAACUUUAAUAUACGCUAUUGGAGCUGGAAUUACCGCGGCUGCUAAUACCAGACUUGCCCUCCAA